rnacentral:lncRNA from 1 species
CUUGACCUCUUCUUAUUAGCAAAGCUCAUAUCUACUUAUCGAAGUCUUCUAAACCCCUCAUAGCUUUACUUCAAAAGUCUAUACUUUCUUGUUGUUGAAGGUCUAGAAGGAGGAUUGGUGUGAGAAUUCUUAAAGGAAGAUUAGAGAAGAGAUAGAGGCUAAUAAAGAAGAACUAAAGCCAAGAGAAUAUGGUCUAAAAGCAAAUGGUGAUCAUC